UACGAAGGGGGCUAGCGUUGUUCGGAAUCACUGGGCGUAAAGCGCACGCAGGCGGAUCGUUAAGUCGGGGGUGAAAUCCCGAGGCUCAACCUCGGAACUGCCUUCGAUACUGGCGAUCUUCGAGUCCGGGAGAGGUGAGUGGAACUCCGAGUGUAGAGGUGAAAUUCGUAGAUAUUCGGAAGAACACCAGUGGCGAAGGCGGCUCACUGGCCCGGUACUGACGCUCAUGUGCGAAAGCGUGGGGAGCAAACAGG
rnacentral:rRNA from 1 species